rnacentral:rRNA from 1 species
CCUUGUCUUAGUUGCUACGCAAGACACUCUAUGGAGAUGCCGGUGACAAACCGGAGGAAGGUGGGGAUGACGUCAAAUCCUCAUGGCCCUUAUGGGUACGGCUUCACACGUCAUACAAUGGUCGGAACAGAAGGUCGCCAACCCGCGACGGGGAGCCAAUCCCAGAAAACCGAUCGUAGUCCGGAUCGCACUCUGCAACUCGAGUGCGUGAAGCUGGAAUCGCUAGUAAUCGCGGAUCAGCAUGCAGCGGUGAAUACGUUCCCGGGUCUUGUACACACCGCCCGUCACACCAUGGGAGUGGGUUUUACCAGAAGUGGCUAGUCUAACCGCAAGGAGGACGGUCACCACGGUAGAGAUUCAUGACUGGGGUGAAUUCGUAACAAGGU